rnacentral:rRNA from 1 species
AUACGUAGGGGGCAAGCGUUAUCCGGAUUUACUGGGCGUAAAGGAGCGUAGGCGGAUUUUUAAGUGAGAUGUGAAAUACUCGGGCUUAACCUGAGUGCUGCAUUUCAAACUGGAAGUCUAGAGUGCAGGAGAGGAGAAGGGAAUUCCUAGUGUAGCGGUGAAAUGCGUAGAGAUUAGGAGGAACACCAGUGGCGAAGGCGACUUACUGGACGAUAACUGACGCUGAGGCUCGAAAGCGUGGGGAGC